GUCGGGAGGGUGGCUAAUACAAGACCCCUCAACGGGGGAAAUACUCCACGCCGCAUGCUCACACGCGGAUUUGAACCUCCCGGCUCCCUUGC
rnacentral:ncRNA from 1 species